ensembl:lncRNA
AUCUCUAGCUGGAGAUCCUUCCUCUUGGAGCCCUUCUGCAAGCCCAGGACAUGGUUCCAGGUACCUGUUUGGAAGAGAAGAAGAACUAUGUUUCCCCAAGAGCCUUUCUGAGUACUGUUAUCAUUCCUGCUCAAGGGAACAGAUAUAAGGGUGCAGGUCAUCUUACUCUCCUCUCUUCUCGUCUUGCCGUGUUCUGUGUUGGAUCGGCUUGCUGCUGAUGCUCCCAACUAUACAGAUGAAUAAUGCCAAAUCAGAUGCCCUAAGGCAAUGGAAUAUUUCAUGCAGAGCAGAGACACAGGACUUAAGGAUGAUCCCCAAGCUUCUACACCAGCAACUAUCUCACAGAGCAUCCUAAGGAAAUGUGGAACAAGACAUUUUUAUGCUAACAACUGAACCAUGCCCUCUGUUUCUUUAUAUGUAGCACUAUUUUCCCUCUGAAGCUAAGUCAGUCAGAUACAAAACAUAUUUUGAGUUCUUGAAUUAGAAAAGCAAGACAUACAUAUGUUAUAUGAUCCCAAGGUGACUAUCCAAUCAUAAAGUCAGCUUACAAUCUUCUCUCAGUGGGAAGGUAUCAGAUAUGAAAUCCAAUCAUUUAAUAUUUUAAAGAACUUAAUGCUUGAAGCAAAUCCAAAAAUAUCUUAGAAUUCACAGUUCUAUUAAAAUUUAUAUGAAGUCCAUGGCAGUGUUGGCCUACAUUUGCAGCAAUUAAGAAAAUAAUACAAUUAACAUCAAUUUCAAUUAAUUUUACCCUGGUUUCCUACUUAUAACAGACGUGCAAUUAUUUUAGGAUUCUUUGAAGUAGGAGAAAACAUUAUCCAAGUGGGAGAAAUACACAAUACAGUUACCACAUGCAGAAGCAGUCUAUUUGCAUAAUUAUAUAGCAAAACUUAUGACAAAGGCUAAGAUAUUAAAAAUAACUUUCAUUAGAUUUCUAAAUUCACUUUUAUCUUUAAAGGUCUGCUUUCAUCCCUUUCAAUACUUGGGGAAAAAAAAUGCAGCUACUUUACAUUGUAAUUAUGCUUAUUCGUAAACUACCUUGUACUUGUGAAAACUAAAAUGAACAAACAAAAAACAUUUUUCAGAUUUUAAAUAAUCUUGGAAUUUCAUUCUGUCAGGUAAACACAAGUCCAGGAAAGAAAAAUAUGUAGUAGUAUGUACUGAGUCUAAGGUAAAAACAGAAAUUGCAAAUACACUCUAGAAAUUAUAUAGCAGCAAAUUAACUGUGAAAGUAUGUAACAACUGUGCUGGUGUGCUUCAGCAUUUAUGCUGCAAAGUAUACCAAACUAUGCUUUUAAAUACACUCAAAGAAAGAAUGCAGUUUUUGAAGCCAGAAAGAUUUUUGCAUGGCUGAAUUUAGUUUGUGAAACUGCUGAAUAUAGUCUUGAAGUUUUAUUGAAAUGAAAACAAAAAGUUACCAAUUUCAUUGUCUAUUUGUGAUGUCUGAGCAUUACCUGUGGCUUGUCUUGCGCUGUUGCAAGAAGCAAUGUCUGUGUUAGAAGCUGAAUUUUUGCUUCUGACUUAAUAUAGCAAAAAUAAGCAUCACAGAAAAGUAUGUUUCUGUGUUAAGAUUUUAUCCCCUGAUCAUCAACAUGUAGAAUUAAAUACAAUGCAGACCUCUUAGAACAAUACAGCUAUUCUCAGAGUGAAAACAGUAUUUUCAUAGAAAAGCAGUCUCAAGCUCAAAUAUACCAUAACUAGUUUCUGCCUGUCUAGAAAUGAAGUUGCUUGCACUGGUAUUUAAAUUUCCUGUUGAAACAAUAUCCAGGGAAUAGAUAACCAAUAAUACACAAAUAUUCCAUUAUGGAAGUGACCAUUUUGCUAAAAUGGGGCCAAAUUAUUAAUUUUAACUAUAUUAACUGCCUUUCUUAGCUGACAGCUCUUUCUUCACUGUUGUAUUAGAUACACUGAAAUUAUUAGGAGUACUUGAAAAACCAGUACUCAAAACUAGCAGACUUUCACAGUGUACUCCUACAGUGUAUUGAGCCAUGUCUCUGACAUUUGACAAAAUUUAAAUGCACGCUACUGCUAUCUGUAAUGUUCCAGGAACUGCUUGGAAAUUACAGGCAACAUCUUGGGAAUGACAAUAAUAAAUAAGCUUGUAUGAACUCAUUAUGCUUGUUCCAAUAUGAUGACAUUUUUAAGAAUAAACACAUUUUUAUUU